rnacentral:lncRNA from 1 species
UCCGACUCGCCAAAAUACAAGUCCGGCCAGUAUUUGUUCAGCGACAUGGAUCCACGUCUGGAUCUGGGUAUAAUUUCCGGUGACCAGAAGAAACAACACCGUACGAAUGAUCCAAAGCAUUGCCAGUACAGUUCAGAUGGGGUUGUGCCUGUGCAAAACAAGAAUGAUUUUCAGCAGAAUCCAUUUCAGGGUCCAGUUGUGAAUGGAUUCCCUACUUUCGAUACGGAUUAUAAUACUGGAUCCAAGCCCUUCAUGUACAAUUUCAGCUCCCAAUCCAUCAGCCAAAGUGUAUGCUUUUUUAACCUAAAUUUGUCUGUUUUUCACAUUUCUGUCCAUAUUCUUUACCUUAUAGUACUGUUUAGCUAACUUGAUUGAACUUUGAACAUAGAUCCAUGAUAAUUCAUAUGUUUAACUUAUUCUACAAAUCGAUGUUCAAUGGGUGUGUCGCCUUGCAAAGGUUUAAUCGGGCACUAAUAGGUUCUCGAGUGAGUUUUGUAUCACACAAUAGUGUUGGAGUAUGUAAGUCUAGAGUACACUUAUCAUCGACAUAUCAGAGAUGAUUUUGGGUGCACGAGAUGUGUGAGAAAAACUUGUAUUAUCUUCUAUAUUAUAGUGAAAUCCCAUGGCAGCGAGUUGACAUAGCUCUCACGUUGAAGUUGAGUUUGUAUAUCGAUUGUUUUUUAUUUAUUAUGUUCUAAGAACAAGGGAUUAGAGCUUAAUUCAUUAGAAUACCAACAACAAAAGGUAAAUUUCAAGAAACCAAAACAAAAAUAGAUACUCUCAUGUUUUGCUAACAAUAUAUGUUUUUGCAACAACUAUGGCAGGUCUCAUCAUCUUCUUUGGAAGUUGGCGUUGUACCGGACCCCAGUUCGAUGGCUGACGUAUCGACUCUUGUGAAAAAUGACGGGUUUCCGAACCCAGUUUCCGGCAUGGACAGAGAAGCCAGGGUCUUGAGGUAUAGAGAGAAAAGAAAGAACAGAAAAUUUGAGAAGACAAUAAGAUAUGCAUCAAGAAAGGCUUAUGCAGAAACCAGACCGAGAAUCAAAGGGAGAUUCGCU